rnacentral:rRNA from 1 species
AUUGAACGCUGGCGGCAUGCCUUACACAUGCAAGUCGAACGGUAACAGGUCUUCGGAUGCUGACGAGUGGCGAACGGGUGAGUAAUACAUCGGAACGUGCCCGAUCGUGGGGGAUAACGGAGCGAAAGCUUUGCUAAUACCGCAUACGAUCUACGGAUGAAAGCAGGGGACCGCAAGGGAUUGCGCGGACGGAGCGGCCGAUGGCAGAUUAGGUAGUUGGUGGGAUAAAAGCUUACCAAGCCGACGAUCUGUAGCUGGUCUGAGAGGACGACCAGCCACACUGGGACUGAGACACGGCCCAGACGCCUACGGGAGGCAGCAGUGGGGAAUUUUGGACAAUGGGCGAAAGCCUGAUCCAGCCAUGCCGCGUGCAGGAUGAAGGCCUUCGGGUUGUAAACUGCUUUUGUACGGAACGAAAAGACUCUUUCUAAUAAAGAGGGUCCAUGACGGUACCGUAAGAAUAAGCACCGGCUAACUACGUG